UCAUUUAUUAACGUAGGGACGACAAUAAAAAACAUUUCUCUAUUGACAUACGAAGAAUAGAACACAGGCAUAUAUCAGUUGAGAUGAAGAUGGCGGACCAAACUGUCGUUUUGCGGAGGAAUCGGCCAGGGACUAAAGCCGAGAAUUUUUAUCGGUGGUGUGAUGAAGCUUAUGAGGAGAUGGACUCCACUCUAGUAGUUCAACAGUACAUUCAACAAACCAUCCGUCUCGACCACAAUAAUAUUGACACCAUUCUUAAUGCGCCGGAGACCCAAGAUGAGGGAGUUUGGAAAUAUGAACACCUUAGGCAAUUUUGUAUGGAGCUGAAUGGCUUAGCUGUCCGAUUACAAGGAGAAUGUCAGCCAGCUACUUGUACACAGAUGACAGCAACAGAACAGUGGAUAUUUUUAUGUGCGGCCCACAAAACCCCAAAGGAAUGCCCAGCCAUUGAUUACACACGACACACACUCGACGGAGCUGCAUGCCUUCUUAAUUCCAACAAGUACUUUCCUAGCAGAGUGAGCAUCAAGGAGUCAUCUGUGGCCAAGUUAGGGUCAGUGUGUCGGCGGGUUUACAGGAUAUUCUCUCAUGCUUACUUCCACCACAGACAAAUCUUUGACGAAUUUGAGACGGAAACUACUUUAUGUCGACGGUUCACAGUUUUCGUGACUAAAUAUAAUUUGAUGUCUCGAGACAAUCUUAUCGUUCCGAUCUUGGAGGAUGAAGGUGCUGGACAGGGGGAAUCUGAAGCUUAGAGAAAAACCAAGAAAACAGAUUACUGUACUGCCAUUUAUGAACAGUAACCAGUGGGCACUUGUGGAUUUGGCCAUACCCAUCUUCAACACCUUGAUAUUAGUUACUGUAAUAGAACCAGCUGUCAUGGCAGAUUUGUUUGUAUAUUUGUUAAGACCUGGCUAGUCAAGUUCUUAAUGUGUUAAUCUGAUGUUAAAUCUACAUCUUGCAGAAAGUUACCUUAGCUGGUACUGAAAUUGUAAAGAUUAUCAUCAUAUUAUAUUAACAAAAUUAAAGUAGAUUAAUGUCAAUACUGCAAUAAUGGAGUAGGUGUUAGGUAUUCAUGUGCAUACCUAUUGGAUUUUUUUUCAGUUAUAAGGAGAUUAGAUUAGAUUGAUGAAAGAGCAAUUGUAGAUCUAUAUAUUUUUUAAUUAAACAAGUUCUCCAUUAUCAAGUAUAGGUACUGUACUUUAUUAGUUUCUUUCCAUAGUACUGUAUACAGUAUAAACUAUUCCUUCAGAAUAUGAGUGUUCUUUGAGAAAGAAAUUUUUAUCAAAGCAUGUGCAGGAAAGAGUAACUAAGUGGUAAAUGUUUACUCUAUAGUUGUAGUAUAGAAAAAUAUUUACAGUACAGUAAUUGUAAAAAUGGAGUUUUUUAAAAAGGGAACGGUGGAUUUUUCAACAUUAUCUGCUGCAGAGAAGGCACAAAGUAGCCAUAUGGCAAAUAAUGAAUAAAACUAGAAGCCAGAUUCCUUGGUAAGUAGUUGAUAACUACAGUACAGUGUAUUUUAGUCCUUAUUUUUGUGAUUAUUAUUGGAAGAAUUCUCAUGAAUGAUAAACAGUCAAUAUUAAAUAUCUAGUCCAAUGAUGUCAUUAUCAUAAAAAUUUUUUCAACUACAGUGUAUGUAAUUCUGUAAAUAUAAUUUGUGAGUUUAAUCUUGAUUGGUAUGUCAAAUGUUUGUAGAACUGUCGUUGUAGUUUUCUCUGGAGAACAUUGUGACGUGACUAUAUUUCCACCGAGUCAUUAAAUAUGAGGAAAUAAUGAAGACGAGAUACGUACUCAUAUUUAAUGUUGUUUAACCAAGUAGUAUAGAGAUCUAUCUGUGCUGUCUUAAAACAAAUGUAAACCAAAACAGAAAAAAAUAAAUAAAAAAUCAUGCUCAAAUAUUACUUCUAUUUCUUGAACUUGUGUUUGUCGUGCCUUUCUCUAUAACAAACCAACACUAAUAGCUACAUGUUCAGGUACUUGCUGUGCUCUAAUAUAAUUGUUGUUAUCUAGUUAUCUGUAAACUUAUUCAUAGAACAUGAUGGGUGACUGGACUGAAUGGGAUGGCCCCAGGCUAACAUAAUGAUUAGAACUGUGUCCUUGUCUAAGGAGGCCAAGACUUAAUGAUCCUCAGUCCUUCGGAGAAUUAAUGUAAUCUGAAUGGUUAAAAUUAGUUUGGGUUUCAUUUUACCAGAAAAUCAUGUGAUGUAUUCCACAUCUACUGGACAUGUAACAGCUACAUUGAUGUGGUAAUUAUAAAAUUCACUUUUUAAAUUCCUGUCUUUAUCAAAUGGUGAAUGUGAGUUCAUUACCCCCUUGUUUUGGAGGAUUUUAUCAGGAAACUGAUAAACAAAGAGUGUGGUAGAAAUUAUAAACAAUUUAAUUCCAUUGUUUUGAAUCUCAUAGCGAGCCUCGAUUCAUGUAAAUAUCUCGGUUAUCAUUAUUUAUUAUAAUUAAUAGUACAAA
rnacentral:misc_RNA from 1 species